CAGUCUGACACUGAUUUAUGAAAAUCUUUGUGCUUUGAGGAGACAAAGGAUGAUUAUUUUUUUUAUUUUUUAUUUUUUGCUAAAAAGUCAUGACACCUAUACUGAAUGUCUAUUUUUGGAAUUAAAGACUUAGCUAAAAUAUCAGGCCUGUGACCGUGGUAACACAUCAGUCAGUUAAUAACAGGUUCAUUUUAUUUUUUUAAUGUAAGUAUUGGUGAUUAGCUUUACCACCCUAUGACCAAAAUACUUGACAAGACCAACUUAGAGGAGGGAGUUUAUUUUGGGUUCAUAGUUUCAGCGAUUCAUUUUGGGACCAAGAUGAGGCACAGCAUCUUGGAGGUGAAGGAAAGCUUCUUGCCUUCUGGCAGCCAACCAGGAAGCAGAGAGGAAGGGAAGGGUGACAGGAAAAAUACAUCUAUCCAGAGCAAAUAAAUGACCAGGGAAUCACCUCCUCCAGCCUUGUCCCAUCUGCCUCGAGGUACCAUUCAGUCCAUUCAAACUAGGACAGAUUGAUUAAAUUACAGUUCUCAUAAUUCAUUCACUUCACUUUUGAAUAUUCCUACAUUAACAUAGGAGCUUUGGAGGGGCACAUCAUAUCAAAACCAUAACAAUUGAUAUAUGGAAGAGCCAUUUCACAUGUGAUAAUUUCCAUUACAGAAAUGGAUAGUUUUAUACAAUUUUACUUCUAUUUUACUUUUUAUACAAUUUCAUUCUAUAUAUUUACUUUUAUUUCCCUGCUAUCAAAUCAG
rnacentral:lncRNA from 1 species